UCAUCAAAUGUCUGACGGGCAUUUUAACCUUUUAAGUAUAGAUUAUGUUGUAGAAUUUUCUGCAACAAAGAGCAUGUUGCAGAAACGUCUGUAGAUUUUUUUGCAACAUAGUUUGUUAUAUAAUAUUUUCCGCAACAAAGAUCGUGUUGCGGAAACAUCUAUAGAAUUUUAUUUACAACAGAAUUUGUUAUAGAAAUAUUUUCUGCAACAAAGAUCAUAGGUGAUGCUGCGGAAAUAUCUGCAAGACAAAUACUAUUGUAAAAAUAUUUGUAACAGAAGGUGUGUUGCGGAAAACAUUUGUAACAUAUGUCAUGUUGCAGAAAAUAAUUUUGCGCCUCGUUUUGUUGCAAAACUAGAUGCGUCGUAAACAAUUGCAACACCACAUUUGUUUCUGAAACAUAGCCUCUAUUUCGAAAGCGUAUUCGAUAAAAGACGACAUGCAAGCCUUCAUUUGGAUGCGUGUCAUGAAGCGAAGGUGGCGGACGCGGCCACUACGAUCCGCCGGAUGACGGCAAGCUUUUCCCUUUGUAUAAGGGUAGUGGAAAAAGAUUGUCGGCGUGGACCUUUCAAGCUUUUUUUUGCGGGGAUGGACCUUUCAAGCUGUACUCUCAUAUAAUAAUAAGACAUAUGACCAGGCCUUGUACACAAUUUAAAUCCCUAGAUUCCCUUUUGUGAAUAUUGGAACUUGUAAAGCAAUUAUUUUUCUUAUGUCGUCAUAGAACUUUCAGGCUUGUAACAUAAAAGGAGAUAUAUGGCCAGACGUUGUCCACCAUUUUAAUCUGUGUAGGUUCCCCUUAAAUUUUAGAACCACGAUUUGGCAUCGUUAGGUUGAAACAACGUAUUAAACGUUCCCAUGAAGUUUAUGUUUACCUUUUUUGUUAGGUUUGUGUGGCCAUCACGACAUCAUGCCAACGGCGAACGAAGCAUUAUACAAAAUAAACAUUUCAUGAUUCUUUGAUCUUGUGUGGAUGCCGCAUUCUAUCUUUAUAUAGUCGUUCUUCUGGCUUCUAUGUCCAUGUGUUUGGUGAUCUUUCUGGUUUGGCAGCUUACCUUGCGACGGUCGCAACCAAAGAUUUUAUGUUCCCACUCCUUGAGGUGAGAGGCACAUGAGCUUCUUUGAAAGCCUCGGAAGAGGUGUAUUUGACAAAUUUAGGUUCUCACUCUUUGGCGUCGACCAAGUAAAACCUAAUGAUGGCAAUUUUACCUAUGGGCAUGGGCACCCCACUCGCAUGGGUAUGGUAUGGGCACAUAUUUAUGCCCAUAGUCAGUACCCAAACUCUACCCGACUAGUCAUCGGUAGGGCAAGGGUACGAUUUUGUGCCCAUGGGUAUGCCCAGACCCUUCCCGGUUAUCUUUGGGUAUACCUGCCCACGGGAAAUCCGGCCCGGCCCGGCUCAAAAUAGCCCGACCCGGCACGGUCUGGUCUUACCCACGGGCCGAGCUUGGGCCUAGGUUUUGAGCCCGAAUGACAUGGCAGGACGGGUUUGGGCUUGACAUAUGUGCGUCUUAGGGAAGAGGCCCGAUCUGAGGCCCGAGGCGCGGCGGGCUUUUCCACUGAUGGGCCAGGCUUGGGCUUGAAAUCUAGGCCCAAAGGCCGGGUUCAGGCCUAGGUUUUCUGAUGCGAGCUUUUUCAGGCCCGGCACGGCCCGAGUUACAGCCAGGUAUAUCUUUGGGCCUUAUGUGUAGUAAACACUAAGGUACCUAAUGUUUCUAUAUAUUAGGUUGCAUUUCCCACCCACAUCCUCCUCCCAAUAAUCAAUUCUCCAACCAUGGAAAUCUCUUAGUGGCUGGUGCCUCCAUCAAACAUUGGACUAGCAUUUACAGCACCAUCUUUUGAUGUUGUGUUGAUCUUCCCAAUGCGUACCAAUCGGGCACAUAUACCCAUAGGGCAUGGACAUGGAUAUUUACCUGAUGGGUAGGUUCGGGCAGAUUUUACGCCAUCAGAAACAUGAGUAUGAGUAUGGGAUUAUUUUACAUGCACCAUACCCUUCCCAUUGACAUCCUUAGUAAAACAUAUGAGUCAGGUUAACAAAAAAUGUACAUGUCUGGUCUUUUGUAUUAUUGUCAUUGGAGACCUGGAGGGGCAUCAAAAUGUGAAUUAAGAUAUGUUGCUUCAAAAGGAACUUGAUGAAGCCUGCAAUUUUCCUUGGCUUUAUUUUUGGACGCGGCAAUAUCUCAUAUGACUAAGAAUUGUCUAUUUUUUGGUCGAUUUUGCAGGUUUGUUCAUACAGAUUAAGAAAAAUAUUCACCAGUCAUAACAUUAUAUUUAUCUAGUAAAACUAGAAUGGAUAUUUUCCGACCAAACAUCACACCGAAGGGCCUCAGAUGGCAUUCGUUCUAAAAUUCAUAUAGUUCCCGGAUUCGGUCAUGGAUAGAGAUAGUUCUCUUUGUGUUAGACUACGGGUUUGGUUUUGACAUUAUACCAUCAUGUUCAGAAUUAUAUUGAGUUCAAUCAGAGAUUUUCCAGAUAAUACCACAGAGAGUUCGAGGAUAUACUACACAACCAUUUUUUCAACUCAUAAAACCAUGCACUGGCUAACGACACACAUGCAGACUUGAGGGGCAUUAGGCAAGUCAUAGUGGGGAGUAACUUAGACUAGUAACAUGUAUAUGUUACUAGUCUAUUUUAGUAUUUCACAGUGGGUAGUGUCAUAGCUAUGAUAACCUAGAGAGCUUCAUUUAUUACUUUGUAGAGUCACUUUACAUUAGGAACCACUAUUAGAGAUGCAUUGGACAUGAAUUUGUUGAAUGAAAGCCUGCCAAAUGACAAUGCUAUUAUACGGUUGCUAACUAUUGGUUAGGUCCUUCCUAUAACUUGCAAAUCUAAUAGCUAAAAUAAUUUAGAUGAUGUGGCUUAAAGUUGUUCUUUGAAUUGAACAAUACAUUGUGUUUUUAUAAUAUACUAGCACAUAUGUCCGUGCAUUGCAAUGAAAGAGAUAUUUUUUUCCCGAGAAGCAGCUAGAAAGAUAAUUGAUUUGUCCACCAAAAAUUGUCUCCGCAGCAGUGCGUGAUAGAGCGAUGAGUUGCGGUCUUCUCGCGGGUCAUGUCUAACCCACGAGAUCUUGAUAGUGGUGGGAUUGGUCGGCGUGGCAGAGGCCAUCCAACUAGUACCUUUUUUUCCUCCGGCUCCACCUUCGUAUUGGGGUUGUGCCUUCCUCAUCAUUUGGUUGUUGGGCGGCAACCUUUAGGACACAGUCGCUUCAACCACUCACUCCUACAAUGGCAUAACCAGAGUGAUUACUAAUUAAUUGCAUCGCAUAAAUCCGGUUUCAUUAGGAUAAUCGUCGCAUAACUAGGCAUGACUGUCCCUUCUUUAUUAGGGUUUAUUCUCUUUGAUUAUUUUAGCACUCACGUGCCCAUAGUUUUUUUAAUUGGAGCAAAACCAACAUUUUCUCUUUUAUUGGCAUGUGACUGCAUGUCUUUUCAAUUAUAGCCAACCGCCAUAUUCUCGUUGGCACAUGGAAGCUACCACCAGCAAUAAUUUAGGGAGUUCAUCGUUCUGCUCAUGAUUCUCGAGACAACUUCCUUAUUAUCAGACAACCUCCUUUUUUCAGGCAACCUAGAGACAUAUCAAAACAUGUGUAAUUUAGUAUAAAGCUCCAAGGUGGGACUAUUCCUAUCAUAAUUUCAAGCUGGAUGAGUUGGUUUUGUCCAUCGGCACAACAGGGAAGGACCAUAGUUCAGUCCCCUCCUGACCUAAAUUAUUUGCUGCUCAUCUAUCUGACAGAAAGGUAAAUGCGUGGUAGGCCCAGUUCGGCGCACCUGGGGACAAAUGUAAAAAAAUUCGGGAACUAAGUGCGGAACGGACGGAACAAAAUCAAUACAUAUAAUUUUGCUUUUCUUGAGCCAGUUGCAUGAGAGCUACUAUAUGGUGCUAUUUUCAUGAAAUAGCGCAUGGGACACACGACAGUUCGUGUCUGGGCAACCCACUGGUUGACACCGAAACGACCUGUGUUUGUAAGGUGCGGGUAAAAAUUAAAAAAAAACAGCGCGUUGAACGAUCAAACUGAUGACAUCAAAGUCCCGACUAGGUGCUGCUAGCCACUAGAACAAGCGUGUACUGCUAACCAAUGAACAAUGAGAAUAUUUAAGAACACAUUGCAGUGUCAGAAUUGUUUUUUUUCUAAAAUAUGAAUUGUCAAAUACUCUUGGAAACGUGAUUUUUUUUAAAUUCCAAUUAUUUGAACAUUCCGUACAUUUCUCGAAGAACAUUGGAAAAUAUUGAAAUAGGGUCAUUUUCUGAAGUUCACAAGCAUGUUUUGAGAACAUGAACCUUAUAUAAAAACACGAGCAUUUUUUAAAUUUGUGAAGAAUUUUUGAAACUGGGAACAUGUUUUGAACAUUCAGAACAACUAUAUCAAAUGAGUUUUCUGAAACACGGACAUUAUUUUGAAUUUAUGAACAUUUUCUCGCAUUUGGAACAUUUUUUAAAUUGCAAUUUUUAAAUCUAGAAUUUUUUGGAAAACACAAGUGUUUUUUUACAAAAAUGGGAACAUUUUUUGAAUUUUGACACGAGAAGAAAAUUUAAAAGUUAAAAAACAAUUAAAAGAGGUAUAGAAUUUUGAAAGUCUGAAUAUGUUUCGAAAAUUUGAACAACAAUUCAAAUGCUGAACAUUUUUUGAAAAUUAUGAAUUUACAGAAACAAGAAAAAGAAAAAUUAAUUUGGAAGGGAAAAAAGAAAAAAGAAACAGGAAAGAAAAAGAUUUUUUUUAACAUUUGGAUGAUGUAGCUUUAUGUUGUGCUUUGAAUUGAACCACACCUUGGGUUUUUAGAAUACACUUGUAAAUUUACGUGCAUUGCACGUUAGAACUUGGAUAACCAGCAAAGAUUAGCAUACUGUUAUGGUAUAUAUUAUAAUAGGUAAGUGAACAUUUUGAAGCAGAUGCAUAAAGUAUAAGAUACAAAACUUGGGUAACAUAAACCAGCCUUGUUGUGUCCAAGUGGUAUCUUUUUAUGUAUCUCAUAUUGCAGUUUUUAAUAGAAAAUAACAAGAAUAGCUAGUGUUGCAUUUGGAAAGAUAAAUGUGACUAUGAAGGUACCUUUGUGGCCUUGAACACAAAGAAAUAACUACCCAUUGAAAAUAAAUGAUAGUUUUGUUAGAAAAAGACGUGGGGAGAGUCUACAUAUAGAAGAGUCUAGAAAAAAAUUAGAAAAGUUUUUUUGAGUUUUAUGCAAAAUAUUCGUAGAGUGUAAGCCCAAUACUAAACUCUUCUAGAUAGUACAUGUGGCGGAAAAUUGUGUAGUAAAGAGAAGAUCCAAUGGCUAGCAACAUCCGGAUUUGCCACCUGUCCACCAUCGCAUCGGCUUCGUCCAACGGCUGAUAUUCAAGUAAUUCAUAGAGUACAUAGUAGUACAGAUAUAGUAGGUGUGAUUAAUUGGUUUGCUACAAAAAGGAACUCCAAGGAAGCGCUUCUAUGCAGUCUUUCAUGCUAUGGCGGAAGUAGAAGCUUGUUGGCUUGUCAUUGAAAAUGUUGAAUCCUGGAGGAGUGCAACCAAACAAACGAAGGUGGAGUUUGCUUAUAGUUAAGUUCAGUUACAUUUGGUGUCCCUUCUAUAAUUCUAUUAAUGGAAUCUUGGCAGCCCUCAUGUUAACUUUUAAAAAAGGUUAACCUUAGUGUGGGAUGUGGAAUUCCCUUUCUGUGGUUUAGCUGUUGGUGUUUUCUCUUUUUUGUGUUUUCUUGCGACCUGCUCCUUUUAUGUUUUUGUUAUUUUACGCAAUCUAUCUGGUGUUGCAGAGGGUGGAGGCCCUUGUAAAGCUUUCAAAAUAGGUUGGGCCUUGGGGUCUUUCCUCCAAAAUACACCUAAUAUUAUUUUAUUUUAUUUUGUCGGUCAUGCAUAUACACUACUAAGAAAUUAUAUAUGCUCUUAUCAAGUACACAAUCGAGCAAACAUGCACGAUUUUUCAAGGCAUCAUCGUCAUCAUCACCUAUGUUGUGCCUUGAUGAGUUUGGAAAAAAAAGGAAAGGGGGGAGCAAUGCCCAAGCCACAGAGACAAGCGAGCCGGUGACUGUACUAGGUGCGCCAAUUUAAUUAGUUAUGUUCUCUGGUUUUCCCAAUUUCUGGAACCUUUUAGAAGUUUCGGGUACAGUUUUUUUUUCAUUGCUGCUUUUUGCAGGAUUUUUUUUACUUUCCAAAAAAUCCAAAUUUUAGAAAAUAUUCAUGUUUAAUUUUUCAAAAUCUAUAUUUUUUCCGAAAUUUCAAUAAAUGUUCUCUGAUUUGAAAAAAAAUCUCGUAUUUAUAAAAUAUGCUAACAUUUCACAAAAGGGGUUCUUAAGUUUUAAAAUAUUCAUUUUUUAAGAGUAAAUAAUUUUUGAGUUAUUCUAGAAAAUCAAAAUAGAAACCCCAGAAUAACAUAGGAAAAGAAAAAAAACAGAGCUAGAGCUCGCUCGCGACUUUGUGUUGCUUUAAUUGACCGGCCUACCCAAGCGAAAGUUGUGCAUAUUAAAAUUCAACAUGUUCUGAAUAAAUAGCUAAUAUUAUUAUAUGAUUAAUUUUGGAAAGUAUAACAGAUAUUUUACACCGAAAAGGGUCAGCCUCCGUGAUUAAUUUUAACCCCCUUUUUUAUGUUUUCGCAAAAAACAUCUUCUCGCAUCCAUUCCUCUCCACUUCCUACAAGGCUGCAAUCAUAAACCAAAAACCUAAUCCGGUGUGAAAUCUCAGAUAUUAGUUACUCGCUUGAUGCAAGAACAAUUCAUAGAUGACCAAUGUUAAUUUUUCAAUGUCUUGCAUAACUGGUUUCCUUUGAGCGGCAUGUCCUUACUUUAGAAACAACGUCACAUUUUCUCAGUUUUGCAUUCCAAACCAUAUUAUUCGAAUAUAUAUGCUUACAGAAUAACAUACAUGUUUCCCGAAUUCGGGACCAACAACGAGUAUAUAUAUACAUGUUGUUCUGUCUUCAAAGGCACAUGUUCUAGAAUAAUAAUAUACAUGCAAACAUUUGGUCUUCAUCUCGGUUGGCUGCAGUGUUCUUCUCCCUUCCUUUGCCAGAACUUCAUGUCAUGCCUACAACAUUGAUCACUGAGGAUUGUACUGAUCGAUUCGCCGCAUUGUUUGGCCAACUAACUGGAUGCAGAGCUCCAAGGCAGAUGUCGCCACACUGCCAUGUUUCAUUCUAUCUAGCCUAACCUGACCAUCUUCAUCUUGCUUUGUUCUUUCUUCUAGGUCUGGUUAUUUCUCAGUGAAUACGGUAAGAGCAGCGAUCUCCCGUACGCGACAGGGAGCGCAAGCACCUUUUUCGCCUUCCCAACAUAGGCCCUCUUGGUGAAGUUGUUGUAGUCAUUCGCUUCGAUCUCGUCAAGGAUCUGCCGGUACAACAACAGAGAGGCCCAAACC
rnacentral:lncRNA from 1 species